rnacentral:rRNA from 1 species
CCGCCUGGGGAGUACGGCCGCAAGGUUAAAACUCAAAUGAAUUGACGGGGGCCCGCACAAGCGGUGGAGCAUGUGGUUUAAUUCGAUGCAACGCGAAGAACCUUACCUGGUCUUGACAUCCACGGAAGUUUUCAGAGAUGAGAAUGUGCCUUCGGGAACCGUGAGACAGGUGCUGCAUGGCUGUCGUCAGCUCGUGUUGUGAAAUGUUGGGUUAAGUCCCGCAACGAGCGCAACCCUUAUCCUUUGUUGCCAGCGGUCCGGCCGGGAACUCAAAGGAGACUGCCAGUGAUAAACUGGAGGAAGGUGGGGAUGACGUCAAGUCAUCAUGGCCCUUACGACCAGGGCUACACACGUGCUACAAUGGCGCAUACAAAGAGAAGCGACCUCGCGAGAGCAAGCGGACCUCAUAAAGUGCGUCGUAGUCCGGAUUGGAGUCUGCAACUCGACUCCAUGAAGUCGGAAUCGCUAGUAAUCGUGGAUCAGAAUGCCACGGUGAAUACGUUCCCGGGCCUUGUACACACCGCCCGUCACACCAUGGGAGUGGGUUGCAAAAGAAGUAGGUAGCUUAACCUUCGGGAGGGCGCUUACCACUUUGUGAUUCAUGACUGGGGUGAAGUCGUAACAAGGUAACCGUAGGGGAACCUGCGGUUGGA